CCUGGGGAUUACUUCUUCUUUGUUUUAUAAAUAGCCAAACAUGGACCUGGGGUAGCUGUUAAUCCCAGGGCUGGCCCUGAGAUUUCAGAAUCAUAUCUUCUUCAGAUUAAGCGGACAGGGCACAAAGCGUCGCUGACCAAAGUUUAAAAAAUGCAGACUCCAGAGUUCCUGUUGUGUCUCAGCAUAAACAAAUCCAACUAGGAUCCAUGAGGAUGUGGGUUAAGGAUCCGGCAUUGCCUUGAGCUGUGGUGUAGGUCACAGCCACAGCCACGCCAGAUCUGAGCAGCAUCUGUGACCUACACUGCAGCUUGCAGCAAUGCCAGAUUCUUAACCCACUGAGCGAGGCCGGGGAUGGAACCCGCGUCCUCAGGGACACUAUGUCGGGUUCUUAACCUGCUGAGCCACACCAGUAACUCCUUCUCCCUCCCUUAUGAUCUCUCCAGGGCUGGUUUCUUCUAGAGCCUUCAGGCCAUGACAGGGGUUCUUUCAAGAAGGGUAAUGAGUGGGCAGCUAGAGGACCAGACCUUUAGAGAACUUUGUGUAGGAAAAGCUUCCUCCACUUUGAAGGCAUUGCAGAGCCACACAGGCAAAGCGCAGGCAAGAGAAUAACAGAUACCCACAUUCGGUUACCUAUACACAAUUUCAGGACACUCGAGUUAAUUUGAGCCAUUCUCCUAAGACAUAAAAUUACUGAGAUCUGCUGUUGUGUUUCUCGCAUGAUCUUAGUUCCCAAACCCAACAUACUCUAAACCCCUCUCCUUCCCAAUCUCCCCUACCCCCCAAAUCCAAAUCAGAUAUCAGGUAUUUAUAUACUGACAGGUUUAUUUUUUCCUUAAAGCUUGAACAAAUACAUCUUUCCACACAGUUGGUAGAAUUGGUAGAGAAGUAAGCCCUUACUGCUUUACAUAAAACUUUCUGGCCAAAAUCCAAAGUCCAUCCACUUUUUUGAUACAUGUGUGUUUUCCAUGUUUUCCAGUCCUCACAACCCAUCGAGACCUGUCUGAGCGGAGGGAGAGCUAACUUUGAGAGCAGGAAGGGACAAUAACACGUGCCUUUUGCAAGUAUUAAAGACAAGCAGCUGUAGGAUUCUGAGAAUUCUCAGUAAAUAGUUCAUAGGAUUCUGAGAAUUCUCAAUAAAUAGUUCAUAGUAUACAAAUGCUUAACUCCAUAGCGUUUACCUUUAAUCAAUGGCAGUACCAGUUAUCACUAUAAUAAAGGAUUCAAGGGACAUUCAAGGGGCUACACAUAUUUAUAGCAGCAAGAGACAUGUAUCAUUUAGCCCUUCUAAUAAUCCCCAAAGAGGGAAAAAGUUCAUUAUAAAUUGAUACUUGACGAUUCUAGCCCAGCUAGUGUUAAUCAGGUUUUAAAAAUCUACCAUAAAGUGUUAUAAAUAUGGGAUUCAGGAAAGCAGCCUAAGAAAAGCUUCUGCUUACCUAAUUCAGGAGGUAACAAGCUACUCCCUUUGAGGAGAAUUCAUGCUAGAUUAAUAUUACUAAAAACAAUGGAAGAUGGCAUCAAGGCAGGCAUUAAAUAAAAUUUGUCCUUGAUAGGAGAAUCAUUUUGCAUUGUUAAGAGUGUCUUAUGUUCUUUUAGAUAGACAGAAAAAAAAGGUCAUGCAAAUUGUGAUUUUUAACUGUAAUCACAUGCUAAUUGAGGGACUGUCAAAGGUUUGCCCCAGAAGGACCUUUUUCAAAGAGGUUAAAAACUUAUUCUAAUUAACAUACAAAUUGAGGUUUACAACCCAAAGAAGGCAAAACCCUCUACUCUUAAAGCAAACCCUAUCUAUAGAUGUCACAGAAAAGAAAUGUUUGCUUCUUUCUUGAAUGAAAAGGAAUUUUCCAUAUUGGAAAACCGGGGGUACAGUGAGAGAGGGGGAGACAAAGAGACAGAGAUCCAGGUAAAGAACCUGAUUAAGGCAGGCAGAACAUGACAAAGAUCAACCGAGGAGGAAUACAAGUAAGCGUGCCAAAUACAACAGUUCCCUCCUUUGAUGAGUGAGCUGGUGGGGGAUGGAGGUAGUUUCAGGAACCUUCCCCCGGCCGCCUGGGAGUCUGAAUAUCACAGCUGCUGCUCCUCUAUUCAGGGAAUGAUGAAUUAGCCACUGCUUAUCAGGCAACUAACAGAGCCAGCAAUAAAAAGAUUGCAAAGACACUGUCAGAAACAGCCCUUUUGAAACCGGAAACAAAGUUUUGGCCAGAGGUGAGCAUGCACUCAUAUGUCUGAAAAAAGAAGUUUUUAAGAGGCUGGGGGUGGUGGUGGGGGGGGGCAGCGGGUGGCGGCACUAACUACAGGUCUUUUAUUUUAGAAACAUAUCCACUUCAGUUGGUGAUUUUUCUGUCUUAAAGACCACCUUGGACUGCUACAUAGCUAAUGUGACCGGACAGCAAAGAGCUGUUUAAAACUGUCUAAAAAGUUAAGUGGGUGGGUAUCUACAGAUAAUCCCUGGCCCAGGGUUUCAAGUCUAAGGCUGCUUCAUUUUCAUAUGGUGACAGGGUAACCUGGAUUGCAGCAAGGCAGCAAGAAUAAGAAGGAAUACCUCGGGGAGAGAGAAAGGAUAAAUGAGAGAGGAGAAAGAGAGAAAACAGAAAUGAAAGCCAAACAAAAAAAUACAAUUAAAGUGACUUACUUUGUUGAUGCCAAUUUGGGCCAGUUAGCAAAACCACAGCAUUAUCAUUUGUCAAAGACGCAACAAAGGGUGGAUUUAAACAUCAAAGUUAGAUAUGUCCCUAAACCUGACCAAAAUCAGCAUAUUAUUUCAAAGCCCUCUUACCUGGCAGCUGGUGCUAUGCUAGAAUGCUUUCCUUGUCUCUUGCUGUGUGUCUCCUGUCUCUUGGAAGCAUGCUCCUUGGAAGUAUAGGGAAUUCCUAUCCUGGCGCAGCGGUAAUGAACCUGACUAGGAUCUAUGAGGACAUGGGUUCGACCCCUGGCCUCGCUUGGAGGGUCAAGGAUCCAGCCUUGCUGUGAGCUGUGGUGCAGGUUGCAGACUCGGCUCAGAUCCUACGUUGCUGUGGAUGUGGUAUAGGCUGGCAGCUGUAGCUCCAAUCGAUCCCUAGCCUGAGAAUUUCCAUAUGUCGCAGGUGCAGCCCUAAAAAGCAAAAAAAAAAAAAAA
rnacentral:lncRNA from 1 species